AGGAACUCCCACACUCUGAAUGAACAGCCCAGUGAUCAGGAGCUUUGAAUCAAUUCUUGGCACCUAACAGUUUGUGAAGAGUCUGCUAAACUCCCUCUAUCAGAAAUCCCAGAGGACUGAGAACAGGUCAUCCUUGGAGGUGUAUCUGAAUGGAGUCAGGAUCUGGAAGCCCAAGUCUCCUUGUCAAUGUCUGCUUGGUUCCCAAGGACACCUGUAAAUGGAAGAGGGGCAUAGUACACAG
rnacentral:lncRNA from 10 species